UACGUAGGGACCAAGCGUUGUCCGGAAUCAUUGGGCGUAAAGAGCGUGUAGGCGGCUUGUUAAGUCUUGCGUGAAAUCUCGGGGCUCAACCCCGAGCGGCGUGAGAAACUGGCAGGCUAGAGUGCGGGAGAGGAGAGUGGAAUUCCUGGUGUAGCGGUGAAAUGCGCAGAUAUCAGGAGGAACACCAAUGGCGAAGGCAGCUCGCUGGGACGGUACUGACGCUGAGACGCGAAAGCGUGGGGAGCAAACAGG
rnacentral:rRNA from 1 species